AAAAAUUUAGUUAAUUCUAUAACUUUAGCUUGUCAAGCUAAGAUAGCUUUCUUUAAGCAAUUUUUA
rnacentral:tRNA from 1 species